GUGCAGCAGUCGCGAAACCUCCGCAAUACACGAAAGUGUGACGGGGCCAUCCCGAGUGCCGUCCGCUGAGGACGGCUUUUCCCCAGUGUACACAGCUGGGGGAAUAAGGAGAGGGCAAGCCUGGUGUCAGCCGCCGCGGUAAUACCAGCUCUCCGAGUGGUGGGGACGCUUAUUGGGCCUAAAGCAUCCGUAGCCGGCUGGGCAAGUCCUCCGUUAAAUCCAACGAUUCAAUCGUUGGGCUGCGGGGGAUACUGUCCAGCCUGGGGGCGGGAGAGGCCGACGAUAUUCCCGGGGUAGGGGUGAAAUCCUAUAAUCCCGGGAGGACCACCAGUGGCGAAGGCUGUCGGCUAGAACGCGCCCGACGGUGAGGGAUGAAAGCUGGGGGAGCGAACCGGAUUAGAUACCCG
rnacentral:rRNA from 1 species